CUCUGGCCAGGGACUGCCCAGCUAAACCUUCCCUAUCCCUGACACAUAAAGUCCAAAGCACGGUAAAAUGCCUACCUAAGUGCAGAAUUUGGAAGUAAUGGUUUAUCAUAGCAGGAAGCAGAUUGUUACUUGCAUAAUUGAGUCUAUUUUCUUUUUUGUUGUUGUUAUUGUUUGUUUUCCAAACAGGGUUUCUCUAUGUAGCCCUGGCUGUCCUGGAACUCACUCCGUAGAUGAGGCUGGCCUUGAACUUACAGAGAUGCAUCUGCUUCUGCCUCCUGAAUGCUGGGAUUAAAAGUGUACACUGCCACCA
rnacentral:lncRNA from 1 species